UUAAUAACGGGAUAGUUUGAUCUUGAACAAACAUAAGUCUUCAUGCAAUAGAGCUAAUGCAAAUAUUUAGGUGAACCAGGAACCACGAUAUGAUUUUUAAUAACUUAACCAAAUCAAAAUUAAAUACGAUAAACCACAUUAUCUGAAAACAUGAUCUUGUUCUGAGCGUCCAUUUCUUUAAGUGCCACAAUAGCUUCUUCUCUCGAAAAUCCUACAUCAUCCUCGAUAUUAUUAAUUGAUUCCAAAACAUCUUCCAAAGAGGCACACUCUUCUGAGAACAGCUCGGAUUUUGUAAGGGAAGCCAACCGGGCCAUGAACACAGACAUCUUCUCACGAGGUAAUGAAACUGUGCUCUGCUCGCUCACAGAUGCCGACACUUCAGAAGCCACGCUAGUGCCUGUAUUGAUGUUACGGUCACUGCUGGCUAGCUCUCUCGAUGUAGCUGGUAAGGUCGAGUGAGUGGAAGGCCAUGAUAACUGGGUAUUUGAUGUUCCUACAUUAUAGGAACCAGCUGUUCCAGCGAUACUUGAACCAAUCUCCGAACCAGAUUCUUGACUUUGCGAAGUUGCAUUCUGAGAUCGGGUAACUCUUCUCGAUCCCGAAUCAAUGACCAUGUUUGUAUCCAUUUCUUCUUCAGAUUCCUCAAUAUCCAUGUCAUCGGAAUUAUCGUCUUCUGAGUCAAACUCUUCACCAGCCUCUAGGCGUUGUUUUUUGUGCUUCUUCCUUUUCGGUUUAACAACUUCACGAAACAAAGCAUAACGCAAAAUUUUUUCCGCAGCCUUUGCAUCUUUGACUUCCACAACUGAGCUCAAACGUGCUUUGGCGUGAGCAGUACUUAAUCGAAUCAAGGUUUCUAAAGUACGUGCCGUCAAGGGACUUGUGCGCCGCUGGUUUCCUUGUAAAUCGUCAUUUCGUAACCCACAAUAAAUAUUGGUAAUGUACUCAGCGGUUGCUUGAUUCAGAAUAGGGUGGAUACGAGAUUUUGCAUACUGAAUAUAUUUCCGCACAAAGUUGAUGUUAAGCAAUUCUUUCUUCUUCGUUCGAGCAUUCGCAUGCAAAAGACUUGAAAAUGUUUCCCAGACUGGAGUCUCAACUUCCUGUUCAACGUUUUCCGUAGAGACACCAGCAGCGUUUGUAGCUCCAACGUUUAAUACACUGUUUAAGGAAUCACGAACCGGCGUACCUGGCUCAACACCAGGAGGCAAGUAACGAUGCAUUCUCAAUACAUGCUCACUGAGAGCACGGUCCUUUUUAUCAUCGAUAUCAUCUGUAACAAUGAAAAGAAGGUCAAAACGCGAAAGCAUAGAAUCUGGAAGUGCUAUAUUUUGGUGAGGAUCUUUACGAAUAUCGUAUUGUCCAUAUAUAGGAUUUGCAGCGGCAAUCACACUACACCGAGCAUUAAGCGAAGUAUGAAUACCGGCUUUAGCAAUCGUAACUGUCUGUUGUUCCAUAACUUCAUGAAUAGCAACUCUAUCUAUGUCACUCAUCUUGUCAAACUCAUCAAUGCAAACCACGCCACGGUCUGCUAAUACCAUGGCACCAGCCUCUAAACGACGCUCGCCAGUUUCUUUAUCUGUGGUCACUGCAGCAGUUAAACCUACGCCAGAAGAACCACGACCAGUCGUAGCUAUAGCAAGUGGAGCGGUAUUAAGUACAAAUCUAAGAAGUUGAGAUUUUGCAGUGGACGGAUCACCAACCAUCAAAAUAUUUAUAUCACCACGAAUAUGAGUUCCAUUCGUCAAAUUUUUUUCAGUUCCUCCCAGAAGAAGAAGUAAAAUUGCUUGCUUGACGUAUUCAUAGCCAUAAAUACUGGGAGCAAGACUCGUAGAGAGAAGUUCAAACACAUUUUUUUUUCUGGCCAAUUUAUUUAUGUUACGAAUAUCAGCAUCAGUGAUGUCUAAUGCACCACCACCAACAUUUCCCAAACCAGGUUUAUUCCCUAACAAAACAACAUUGUUCGCUAGCAGCACAGUUCGAAACGUCGCGCUUGUAUUACCAGAUGUUUUAGACCCCAUAGAACGAUAUUGUCCUACUAUAUUAACACGAUCACCAGGUUUAACAGUAUCAACUAAGUCAUCAUCCAACAAAAUGUCAAUUGAUCUAGGAAGUUGUCCUGGUGGUGCACGUUCAGGCAUUUCCUGAAGAGAAAUUGACUGAUGAUCGCGAAAGGUGCUGAAGCCAAAUUCUAUUGAUAGGGGAUUACCGUUUUCGUCUUGUGUUGGAUAUACAGUGGAUUGAAAGCUAAGGCCGCCAUUCAUAGUAGCAUCGGCAUAUUGUUUGAAAUGAUGUCUUUUUGUAGCUUCGCAGUAAUGAACAGAUUUAAUUACUUUAGGACGAACAAAAGAGCAGCGCGUAACAAUUCCUUCCAGAGAAAUCAUCUUAUUUAAAUGCAUGGCUCUCAAAGUACGUGGAUUCACAUGGUGGUCACCAAACGAUCCCCUGAAACCCACGUAAAACAGCUUAUCCUUUAGGUCCUUAUGAACAACAGGAUCUAUGAGAGUGCUAACUACAUUUCUCAAUGCCUCAUCAAAAGGUUCCACAUAUUCAAGAGGCUUCAAAAGAACACCAUCAGCUAAUUCUCGGUUGUAAUCGCGCAGUUCAUCAAUAUUGACAAUUAAACGACGCUGACCCAUGUUAAGCAUUCUAAGGAUUGCCUCUUGGUACAAGGUAACGUUAGCAUCAUCAGUGUCAUGUUCAAGAUAUUCUUGAAAAAUUCUAACACGGUCUUUAAAAACCUCAUCUGCUAACAGCUCAGUCAUUUUUAUAAGCGCUUUUUAUUACCGUCCUAUAACUUGUAAAAAAAUAUCCAAAGGUUUCCAAUUUUAUCAUGCGAUACCUGCAAGCAAAUGUGUUGAUCGAAUGCUGUAGGGAUUUCGCGUAUAACUUAAGUGAGUUAAAUCAAACCGCACAGGUUUUAAUACAAUAUCCAAUACUAGCCUUUUACAGGCUUAUUACUGCCCUCCAAACUUUGAUAAAGUUUUCGAUAGAUGAAGAAGUAUUCUUAUGUUGGAUGGACUAUUUCCUUUAUAACUAUACGAAGUUACAAAAUGUUACUUGAUCGAAAACGAAAUUGUAAAUACAUAAAUACAAAAAAAGUU